GGCAAUAUGGCCGAGUGGUCUAAGGCGCCAGAAUCAGGUCGUCAAACCUCAUCUGGUCCUCCGGGGCGAGGGUUCGAAUCCCUCUGUUGUCA